CCACUGUAACACAAAGCACAGAAACUGUCUGCUUUAGGCGACAACAGCGGAUCUACUCAGUGUCCUUCUCACAGCCAAGCAGGAGGAGAGUUCAUGGAGAGGAAUUCAGGGCAGAAAACAAAGUGAACCAUUGGAAACUGCUUUCAGACUGCAGAUUCCAACCAGAUUUGUGUCAUGACUUCAGCCAGGGCAUUCUUUACCCACGUGGGACAAUGUCAGGAGCCUCAGUGACAUUGAGGCAGGGUCGGGAAUGUUCCUGGUGAUAAGCAGACACAUGAGAAUGCUCUGAGGAGAGGGGUGCAAGGCAGUGCAGAUUUACAACACUGAGACCCUUCAGAGCAGCACUAAUGCCCAGUGGAGUUCUCCAGCCUAAAUGUCUCGUUGUCAGUGGAAGAAACAAAGGUAAUGUAAUUUGAAUGCUGGAUGCAACAGCGUAGGCUGCUCUCCAGGCUGAUUCUCCCUGCUCCAAAUGGGAAGGAUGGCUCCAAACAGACUCACCAGCACAGACUGAAGAGCAGACAUCUGAUCUGGGAGGAAAUGGCCAAUAUCUCAGCUUUUUUCCCCACGAUUUGUUUCUUCCUGGAAAGGGAAAAAAAAAAAAAAGCCACAAAACAGUUGCAUGAAGACGCCGCUGUUUCAAAGCAAAAUUUUAAAACGUCUCUGAUUUGCAAAUGGCAUUUCAGCAUUUUCAUGAGAAUAAAAUGCUACUGUGAUGCUGGGUUUAAAUAUUUCAUUCCAGCUCCCUGAACCAACUUAAAAUCUUAUUAUAAGUCAUUUUGACAUGAAAGUGUGUUUCUCUGUGGUGCCCGUGGCUGAGACAUCUCCAGCUCGGAGUGCAGCUGCAGGAGCCCUCCCUGCUCAGGGCUGAUCAAAGGCAAACCACCCGUGAGCCACUGCUCGGCCCCACCACCCAGCCCAGGGAAAAAACGGGAUCCUGAACAUCCCAAGGGCUGAUGCCAUCGAUGGAAAACACAUAUUCCUGUCGUAACCCUGCUGGGAGAAGGUUGGGUGAGUUUAGCAAACAAAACCGCAGCGGCUUAAAACAUGGAAUUGCAACAGUGCCACAGAGACAAGCUCGAGACAUUUGUUAAGAAGGAUAUCAGGAAUAAAUCCCUGUGUUACUCUUUCCAGCACCGGGGUUAGUUCAUGACUCUUUCAUGUGAGCUCUCUCUCUUUUAUGUCAUGUAGUCUGGAGGGAGGAAAGUGGCACUGACCCAAAAUGAAUCCUUCCUGUCCUGGGCUCCUCCUGCUCUUCCUUGCUCCCUGGAAAAGUCCUUGUCCUCUCUGAGUGGUUUUUCUGAAAAUAAGACCAAGCAAGGCAGGGAUGACCACACUUUUUUCCUCUUCCUUUCUCUUUAAGAUCCAUGGGUUAUCAUUUU